rnacentral:rRNA from 1 species
AGUGGACGCUGGCGGUAGGCCUAACACAUGCAAGUCGAACGGCAGCACAGUAAGAGCUUGCUCUUACGGGUGGCGAGUGGCGGACGGGUGAGGAAUACAUCGGAAUCUGCUUUUUCGUGGGGGAUAACGUAGGGAAACUUACGCUAAUACCGCAUACGACCUACGGGUGAAAGCAGGGGAUCUUCGGACCUUGCGCGAUUGAAUGAGCCGAUGUCGGAUUAGCUAGUUGGCGGGGUAAAGGCCCACCAAGGCGACGAUCCGUAGCUGGUCUGAGAGGAUGAUCAGCCACACUGGAACUGAGACACGGUCCAGACUCCUACGGGAGGCAGCAGUGGGGAAUAUUGGACAAUGGGCGCAAGCCUGAUCCAGCCAUACCGCGUGGGUGAAGAAGGCCUUCGGGUUGUAAAGCCCUUUUGUUGGGAAAGAAAAGCAGCAGGUUAAUACCCCGCUGUUCUGACGGUACCCAAAGAAUAAGCACCGGCUAACUUCGUG